rnacentral:tRNA from 1 species
GGGCGAUUAGCUCAGUUGGUUAGAGCGCCUGCUCGACACGCAGGAGGUCGUGGGUUCAACUCCCGCAUCGCCCACCA